CGAUCAGGGACUCGCCUACAGGCAGUUGGCAGGAAAGCGUCAUCCUGUCACCCUUCACCGCUCCUCCAGGCUCUUCCGUCAGUACAGGAGGACAAGCAAGGUGGACCUGACAUGGUUGGAAGAAGAAAGGGGAAACAUAAGAUGCUAUGACAGAGGGAAAACAUGGGUGUGGAGAAGAUGGGAUGGCAGACAGAUGAGAGGCUGAAAGG